UACGGGGGGGGCAAGCGUUGUUCGGAAUUACUGGGCGUAAAGAGCGUGUAGGCGGCCAGGUAGGUCCGUUGUGAAAACUCGAGGCUCAACCUCGAGACGCCGAUGGAAACCAUCUGGCUAGAGUCCGGAAGAGGAGAGUGGAAUUCCCGGUGUAGCGGUGAAAUGCGUAGAUAUCAGGAGGAACACCUGUGGUGUAGACGGCUCUCUGGACAGUAACUGACGCUGAGACACGAAAGCGUGGGUAGCAAACAGG
rnacentral:rRNA from 1 species